rnacentral:rRNA from 1 species
UACGGGGGGGGCAAGCGUUGUUCGGAAUUACUGGGCGUAAAGGGCUCGUAGGCGGCCAACUAAGUCAGACGUGAAAUCCCUCGGCUUAACCGGGGAACUGCGUCUGAUACUGGAUGGCUUGAAUCCGGGAGAGGGAUGCGGAAUUCCAGGUGUAGCGGUGAAAUGCGUAGAUAUCUGGAGGAACACCGGUGGCGAAGGCGGCAUCCUGGACCGGCAUUGACGCUGAGGCGCGGAAAGCCAGGGAGCAAACGGG